rnacentral:rRNA from 1 species
UACGAAGGGGGGCUAGCGUUGCUCGGAAUCACUGGGCGUAAAGCGCACGUAGGCGGCUUGUUAAGUCAGGGGUGAAAUCCUGGAGCUCAACUCCAGAACUGCCUUUGAUACUGGCGAGCUUGAGUUCGGGAGAGGUGAGUGGAACUGCGAGUGUAGAGGUGAAAUUCGUAGAUAUUCGCAAGAACACCAGUGGCGAAGGCGGCUCACUGGCCCGAUACUGACGCUGAGGUGCGAAAGUGUGGGGAGCGAACAGG